rnacentral:rRNA from 1 species
UGGGGAAUUUUGGACAAUGGGCGCAAGCCUGAUCCAGCCAUGCCGCGUGAGUGAAGAAGGCCUUCGGGUUGUAAAGCUCUUUCGGCGGGGACGAAAUGGUUCGUGCCAAUACCACGGACUGAUGACGGUACCUGAAGAAGAGGCACCGGCUAACUACGUGCCAGCAGCCGCGGUAAUACGUAGGGUGCAGGCGUUAAUCGGAAUUACUGGGCGUAAAGCGUGCGCAGGCGGUUUGUUAAGACAGAUGUGAAAUCCCCGGGCUUAACCUGGGAACUGCGUUUGUAACUGGCAGACUGGAGUGUGGCAGAGGGGGGUGGAAUUCCAAGUGUAGCAGUGAAAUGCGUAGAUAUUUGGAGGAACACCGAUGGCGAAGGCAGCCCCCUGGGCUAACACUGACGCUCAUGCACGAAAGCGUGGGGAGCAAACAGGAUUAGAUACCCGUGUAGUCCCUGAGCGGGCUGGCAAGGCGCAU